rnacentral:lncRNA from 1 species
CAAACCCCAUUAAUAUUGGGAUACAAAGCUUCUUAGGCAUCUAAGAAAUGUACAAUGAUAGAGCUCAAAAAGUCUCAAAAAAAGGUGAGAUCUCAUCGAAGGGAAGUAAGACACCUCUUUGGCUAAGAAAACCAAAUCCACUAUUUCAGCCAAGGUAUUUCAGCCUCUGACUGCUAUUCCUUACCUAACUUCUCCCAUUGGUUCCCCUGUUAGAGAGGCUAUUACUACUGUCGCUUCAACACCUGCGACCUCAGGCAUUUCUUGUUCACAUUUUCCUUUCCCCAAUCUCCAGUACCCCGAUAUUGAAGCUAUGGUUGGAACUCACCCAGAGAUAUUCCUAGAUUUCUUCAAGCACCAUCACUUUCCAAAGAUAUGAUCUCAUCUUUCCCUUUUACUAUUAGAGACUCAGCUAACCUACUAACAAGAAGCUGUAAUGAAAGAAAACAAAGGUUUUUGGAAGAGAUGUCUAUAGAUGAGGUAUGUAUUACUGCAAAGCUAUACAGUGAUCAUUCUGUUUUAUAUAUGAUGAAUGUGGCCAUGAAGAUAUGUUCCUCUUUUUCUUUUUUCUUUUUGAACUCUCUAUUGAAUAAUCAAAAUUGACUUGUUCAUAGGUCAAUGCUAAGAUUGAAAAAGUGGUUGCUUUGAGGAAUGAGGCCUUAGCUACUUUCUAGGUUGUUAAGGCUGACAAAGUCCAAAAGACAAAGGAGAAGAAAGAACAUGAGCAUAGACUUUGCACCUUGGAGGCCGAACUAAAGGCUAAGGUCGUUGUUAGGUCUAAGCUUGAGAAAGAGUUGGCAUCAACUAAGUUACAGAGUGAGGAGGCCAACAUUUGAGCUUACAAUGAAAAAUUGAAGGAUGAAGAGGAAUGAAAAAAUAUCGAUGAGGUAGAUGCUAGGACAAUCAAAGCCAUAGAGCUCUAGAAAGUGUUUCCAAAGUUCAACGCAUUGGCUCAGAAUGCCCACAUCGUCAGCUUGGUCGAGGUGAUAAUGCACAUAGAAAAAAUACAACUGUGUUUGCACUUCAUCAAAAGACAAAUAGUAGUCUUCAUGCCUUUUUGAUGUUUAUCUGUAAUACCUCUUUUAGUUAGGUUGAUCAAGAUAGGUCUUUUUAAUCUGGCCUCCCAAGCAUGGUCGACGUUCCCUUCUUAGAACAUAUUUACCCUUGACCUAGGUUGAUCAAAAUUGCAUGAUCUUAUUCUUACCUCAGCAUGGUCCUUCCGUACGACGCCCACUCCACCUGGGGUAAGAAACUUCAUACAAUAAUGGUAAAUUGAAUUGGCUAUCUUUAAUUCAUGCAAUAUAAGCUUCCCAAGAUUGCAUUAUAACAAGAUGAUAAGUCGACUACUACAAAAUCAGCAAUGGUCCUCCUCUUGUAGGGUACAUCUCCUAGUUCAACAGUUAGGACAAUCUGACCUCACAUUUCAAUGUGAUCUAUCGUAAAGUCUUUCAAUUUAUAGAAGUGGGAUGUAUUUGUUCCAAAGUUUUAAAAUAUAAGAUAUUAACAAAAGACUUAUAAUCUACAAGAGUUAGAUAUAUGUUAAUUCUGGUGACAUGCAUGGUGGUGAUUAUUAAGGUGUCAAUUUAGUUCUACAAUACUCCAUGAGAAUCUUCUUUUGAAAUCCCAAACCAUUUGGGACUCUACCUUAGUAUAAGGUUGAUCUUACAUUGUCCUACCUCAUAUUUAUACCAAAUACAUGCAUCUCUGGCCUGUUCGCGAUGCUCACUUCUUAAACCUUUUGCACACUAAUUUUUACCUAUUAGCAUCCUGAUUUCAACAUUGGAAUGGGAAUUCCUUGCUUGUGAACCUGGAAGAGCUGACUGUAAAUUCUCAUACUAGUAUAGAUGUGGUGGCUGAAGAGAUAUUUGGGUUGUUUUUUAUAAGUAUAUUUUUACACACUUUAUAGGCAUUUUAAUGAGCUAUUUAUUGAUGAAAUUGAGCGAAUUUUUAUUCAUAAAUGUGUAAUUGUGGUGUUUGUAGGCCAAAAUCCCAAAUUGGAGGAGAAAACGGCUAAAGGAAGAGAGGACCAAAAGUGCAAAAGUACUGAAAGUUUAGGGACCUAGGUUGCAAUAUUUUAUAUGGGCAUGGUUAAAAGAAAAGUCAAAAUUUGAGGACUAAAAUGUACAAUAUGAAAGUUGAGGGAUUGAAUGCGCAAUUACCAAAGGACUAGAGCUUCAAUAAGAGCAAAAUAGGGAAGUGGCGUCGUGGUUUUGUCCAUUUGAUAGCACUGUAGCGCUGCAGCGCCACGUACAAGGCGUCGCAACGCCGUAGCCAUGGCUAGGGUCCAUUUGGCUUUUUUUUUUAAUUAAUUGAGGACCAUUUUGCAAUUAACAAAACACGAUUUUUGAGCCAUUUAAAGGGCAAAUUGAACCAUUUUUUUCCCAUUCUUCAUCCAUUUCAAAACCCUAGCAUAGGGAGAAAAAGGGGACAAGCAAAAAAAGAGGGGAAAUAUCACACAAAGAGGAGGAAAAUCUUGGAGAAAUCAAAACCAAAACUAAGCAAGAUUCAAUGGUCCGACCAAGGGACAGGUUUAUUUCUUUAUAUUGUAAUUUACAUUAUAUUUUUCUCAACUUUUGUCACGUAUUUCUUUAAUAUUUUCACUUUGAGCCUUUUAAACACAAUGGGCUAAAUAUUUUGGUAUUGGGAUGAAUGAGGAAGUUUGGCCAAACUAUAUUAAUUUCAAUGUUUA